GUCUACAGCCAUGCCACCCUGAACAAGCCUGAUGUCCAAUCUCAGAAGCUAAGCAGUGUCGGGCCUGGUUAGUACUUGGAUGACAGACCACCUAGGAAGACCAGGCGCUGUAGGCA
rnacentral:rRNA from 1 species